AUCAGACGUGUGUGUGUCCCUGCGGCGCUAAGAAGGGGAGACUGAGGCUGAGGCUGGGGAACAUCGGGCAGCAUGAGCGGCUGCGGGCUCUUCCUGCGCACCACGGCUGCGGCUCGUGCCUGCCGGGGUCUGGUGGUCUCUACCGCGAACCGGCGGCUACUGCGCACCAGCCCGCCUGUACGAGCUUUCGCCAAAGAGCUUUUCCUAGGCAAAAUCAAGAAGGUAACGCGAGCCCUGGGCGAACCCUUGCUGUCUGGCUCCCGCUUUUCACCCUCAGCUGCAAGACUGGUGUUGAACUUUGUGAGAUUCCCCAAACCUGCCAGAGAGAUACACCCUGCGGCCGAGGCGUGUUAACACUCCGGAUUCCUGAGUUCCAGGAAAACCUUCCCAGAGAAAGGAAAGAAGUUUUCCCAUUUCCAGAAGUUAGCCAAGAUGAACUUAAUGAAAUCAAUCAGUUCUUGGGACCCGUGGAAAAAUUCUUCACUGAAGAGGUGGACUCCCGAAAAAUUGACCAGGAAGGGAAAAUCCCAGAUGAAACUUUGGAGAAAUUGAAGAGCCUAGGGCUUUUUGGGCUGCAAGUCCCAGAAGAAUAUGGUGGCCUGGGCUUCUCCAACACCAUGUACUCAAGACUAGGGGAGAUCAUCAGCAUGGAUGGGUCCAUCACUGUGACCCUGGCAGCGCACCAGGCUAUUGGCCUCAAGGGGAUCAUCUUGGCUGGCACUGAGGAGCAGAAAGCCAAAUACUUGCCUAAACUGGCGUCCGGGGAGCACAUUGCAGCCUUCUGCCUCACGGAGCCAGCCAGUGGGAGCGAUGCAGCCUCAAUCCGGAGCAGAGCCACACUAAGUGAAGACAAGAAGCACUACAUCCUCAAUGGCUCCAAGGUCUGGAUUACUAAUGGAGGACUGGCCAAUAUUUUUACUGUGUUUGCAAAGACUGAGGUCGUUGAUUCUGAUGGAUCAGUGAAAGACAAAAUCACAGCAUUCAUAGUAGAAAGAGACUUUGGUGGAGUCACUAAUGGGAAACCCGAAGAUAAAUUAGGCAUUCGGGGCUCCAACACUUGUGAAGUCCAUUUUGAAAACACCAAGAUACCUGUGGAAAACAUCCUUGGAGAGGUCGGAGAUGGGUUUAAGGUGGCCAUGAACAUCCUCAACAGCGGCCGGUUCAGCAUGGGCAGCGUCGUGGCUGGGCUGCUCAAGAGAUUGAUUGAAAUGACUGCUGAGUACGCCUGCACAAGGAAACAGUUUAACAAGAGGCUCAGUGAAUUUGGAUUGAUUCAGGAGAAAUUUGCACUGAUGGCUCAGAAGGCUUACGUCAUGGAGAGUAUGACCUACCUCACAGCAGGGAUGCUGGACCAACCUGGCUUUCCCGACUGCUCCAUCGAGGCAGCCAUGGUGAAGGUGUUCAGCUCCGAGGCCGCCUGGCAGUGUGUGAGUGAGGCGCUGCAGAUCCUCGGGGGCUUGGGCUACACAAGGGACUAUCCGUACGAGCGCAUACUGCGUGACACCCGCAUCCUCCUCAUCUUCGAGGGAACCAAUGAGAUUCUCCGGAUGUACAUCGCCCUGACGGGUCUGCAGCAUGCCGGCCGCAUCCUGACUACCAGGAUCCAUGAGCUUAAACAGGCCAAAGUGAGCACAGUCAUGGAUACCGUUGGCCGGAGGCUUCGGGACUCCCUGGGCCGAACUGUGGACCUGGGGCUGACAGGCAACCAUGGAGUUGUGCACCCCAGUCUUGCGGACAGUGCCAACAAGUUUGAGGAGAACACCUACUGCUUCGGCCGGACCGUGGAGACACUGCUGCUCCGCUUUGGCAAGACCAUCAUGGAGGAGCAGCUGGUACUGAAGCGGGUGGCCAACAUCCUCAUCAACCUGUAUGGCAUGACGGCCGUGCUGUCGCGGGCCAGCCGCUCCAUCCGCAUUGGGCUCCGCAACCACGACCACGAGGUUCUCUUGGCCAACACCUUCUGCGUGGAAGCUUACUUGCAGAAUCUCUUCAGCCUCUCUCAGCUGGACAAGUAUGCUCCAGAAAACCUAGAUGAGCAGAUUAAGAAAGUGUCCCAGCAGAUCCUUGAGAAGCGAGCCUAUAUCUGUGCCCACCCUCUGGACAGGACAUGCUGAGGCAGGGGACAGUGUCCCCUGCUACCGCCCGCCCCUACCCAUGGCCCGUUGCUGGAUGACUGUUACUCUUUUUUCAGAAGGUGUUGGGAUUAUCACAGGUUAAGCCUUUUGUUCCCCGUCUGCACCUGAAGGGUUGUCGCCUGGCCUGGGAGAGCCUCUUCCAGGUUUUGACCUGCAGGCAGUGCUCUCUAACAGGACCAUCACAGCUUCUGAACUGAGCCGGAGAGAGAGAAUGGAAUUGCUGACCCCUGGAACUGGCGGGUAUUCUGGUCAUUGAGGAGACACCAUAGUGGAAACUGGGGCUUAUGCUGCUGCCUCCAGGGUGUGAGGUGGGUGGGGACCUGUGUCAGGUGUGGAUAGCCAUUUCUGCUCAACCACACAUUCUCUAAGAAACAGCUUGAAAGCUCUGUCUGGGUCAUUCAUUUAAACUAGAAGCAGAGGCACUUAAAACAUGUACCAGGAACCAUUUAACAAAGAAUAUAAAAUGUCACAAUCUGUGUACUGUUA